GAAACAAGGCUAAACCGCGAAUGGCUCAUUAAAUCAGUUGUGGUUCCUUAGAUCGUACCAAGUUACUUGGAUAACUGUGGCAAUUCUAGAGCUAAUACAUGCUACCGAUGCUUCGUCUUUGCGGACGGAGAGCUUUUAUUAGAACAGGGCCAACGGAUUCGCCUCGUGCGAAUUCUGAAACUCCUGGUGACUCUGAAUAACUUUGGGCUGAUCGCACGGUCUAGUACCGGCGACUUAUCUUUCAAGUGUCUGCCUUAUCAACUGUCGAUGGUAGGUUACGCGCCUACCAUGGUUGUCACGGGUGACGGGGAAUCAGGGUUCGAUUCCGGAGAGGGAGCCUGAGAAACGGCUACCACAUCCAAGGAAGGCAGCAGGCGCGCAAAUUACCCACUCCCGGCACGGGGAGGUAGUGACGAAAAAUA
rnacentral:rRNA from 1 species